rnacentral:lncRNA from 1 species
GUUGACCGUUAUGGAAUAACCGUUUCACAAAUGAUAUCGGAUAUAUUCCUUACGUCGUAACUACAAUCCCCUUCCCUUUCAUGAAUAUGACCUACCGAAUUAGACUAUUUACCGGAUUUGUAAUCACUUAAGCAACACGACGGGUGCCACAUGUGGAGCAGGAUCUGCUUACCCUUCCGGAGCACCUGAGAUCACCCCUAGUUUUUGGUGGGGUUCGUGUUGUUUAUUCUUUAGUUUUCUAUGUUGUGUCGUGUGUACUAUUGUUUUUCUGUUUGUCUUUUUUAUUUUUAGCCAUGGCGUUGUCAGUUUGUUUUAGAUUUAUGAGUUUGACUGUCCCUUUGGUAUCUUUCGUCCCUCUUUUAUGGCUCUUUAUUCCUUAACCAUUAGGACAAUCACUCACCAAAUCAAUCCAAACUUUCCUUUUGUGUUAUAAAUGGAACCAUGUGGUACAAUGUCAUAAAGAUCAAUAAUACUUUUACAGAAGUAAUUGUCUGGAAACCUUAAAAAAUGUCUUUGGAAAUAAAAAACACAGAUGCCAACAAUGUCACAGCAUUAUACCACUAUAAUCU